rnacentral:rRNA from 1 species
GCACAAGCGGUGGAUGAUGUGGAUUAAUUCGAUGCAACGCGAAAACCUUACCUACCUUGACAUGUCUGGAACCUUGCUGAGAGGCGAGGGUGCCUUCGGGAGCCAGAACACAGGUGCUGCAUGGCUGUCGUCAGCUCGUGUCGUGAGAUGUUGGGUUAAGUCCCGCAACGAGCGCAACCCUUGUCAUUAGUUGCCAUCAUUUAGUUGGGCACUCUAAUGAGACUGCCGGUGACAAACCGGAGGAAGGUGGGGAUGACGUCAAGUCCUCAUGGCCCUUAUGGGUAGGGCUUCACACGUCAUACAAUGGUCGGUACAGAGGGUUGCCAAGCCGCGAGGUGGAGCGAAUCCCAGAAAACCUGUCUCAGUCCGGAUUGAAGUCUGCAACUCGACUUCAUGAAGGCGGAAUCGCUAGUAACCGCGGAUCAGCACGCCGCGGUGAAUACGUUCCCGGGCCUU